GGCCCCAUCGUCUAGCGGUUAGGAUAUCAGGUUUUCAUCCUGGCGACCGGGGUUCGAUUCCCCGUGGGGCUACCA
rnacentral:tRNA from 1 species